UACGGAGGGAGCUAGCGUUGUUCGGAAUUACUGGGCGUAAAGCGCACGUAGGCGGCGAUUCAAGUCAGAGGUGAAAGCCCGGGGCUCAACUCCGGAAUUGCCUUUAAAACUGCAUCGCUAGAAUUGUGGAGAGGUAAGUGGAAUUCCGAGUGUAGAGGUGAAAUUCGUAGAUAUUCGGAAGAACACCAGUGGCGAAGGCGACUUACUGGACACAUAUUGACGCUGAGGUGCGAAAGCGUGGGGAGCAAACAGG
rnacentral:rRNA from 1 species